rnacentral:lncRNA from 1 species
CUCUGUCACUAAGGGUUUGAAUGUCGCUUCAGGUGCCUGAGCAUCGCAUGGGAAUGUUUCUCUGAACAAGGUCCCUGAUGGAUAGAUGGUUUUCUGUGUUCUUGAUUCAAACCCUCGCCAAUUCAACAUGUCUCCUUCAUUACCUGACAGUUAGAGUUAGUCUCCUGCUUAAAGGACUCCAGAAAGCACCUGGCCAAGUUACCGAGAGAUGAUGCUUGUGGGUGUGAUCCUGAGUGAAGACAAGACGACUGGCUGUGAGGACAUGGAGCAAGGUGGCGGCCACUUCACUGGGAAUUUCAAAUAUGAAUAUUUUGUGUCAAGAAGAGGGAAGAAAAUGAGCAGCCAAACUCUGAUCCUCUCUGAAGUCGAAUUAGCGCUCAGAAGACAAUGAAAUUCUACCCUACGCUCCUGCUGCCACCGUGACCUGCAGACUCACCUGAAGCCGUCACUUUAUGACUGCGUGGAGCUUUGCUCUUCACUCUGGACUAUUCAAGUGGAAGAAGGAAGAGGAGAUGAAGGAAUCUGGGGCUUUGACAUAGCAGAUGGCAGCAUCGUUUGCAGAUAAACUUCUAUGGUAUCAUCCACAUUUUACAGAGAAGCAUGGGACACAGCAAGGAAGAAGUAAAAUCUAGAUUCAAAUUCUACAGCCUAACUCAGAAGAUCAUACUCUUAGUAAAUAUUGUUUAUAU